rnacentral:rRNA from 1 species
GAUAAACGCUGGCGGCGUGCCUAAUACAUGCAAGUCGAGCGAACGGACGAGAAGCUUGCUUCUCUGAUGUUAGCGGCGGACGGGUGAGUAACACGUGGAUCACCUACCUAUAAGACUGGGAUAACUUCGGGAAACCGGAGCUAAUACCGGAUAAUAUUUUGAACCGCAUGGUUCAAAAGUGAAAGACGGUCUUGCUGUCACUUAUAGAUGGAUCCGCGCUGCAUUAGCUAGUUGGUAAGGUAACGGCUUACCAAGGCAACGAUGCAUAGCCGACCUGAGAGGGUGAUCGGCCACACUGGAACUGAGACACGGUCCAGACUCCUACGGGAGGCAGCAGUAGGGAAUCUUCCGCAAUGGGCGAAAGCCUGACGGAGCAACGCCGCGUGAGUGAUGAAGGUCUUCGGAUCGUAAAACUCUGUUAUUAGGGAAGAACAUAUGUGUAAGUAACUGUGCACAUCUUGACGGUACCUAAUCAGAAAGCCACGGCUAACUACGUGCCAGCAGCCGCGGUAAUACGUAGGUGGCAAGCGUUAUCCGGAAUUAUUGGGCGUAAAGCGCGCGUAGGCGGUUUUUUAGUCUGAUGUGAAAGCCCACGGCUCAUUCGUGGAGGGUCAUUGGAAACUGGAAAACUUGAGUGCAGAAGAGGAAAGUGGAAUUCCAUGUGUAGCGGUGAAAUGCGCAGAGAUAUGGAGGAACACCAGUGGCGAAGGCGACUUUCUGGUCUGUAACUGACGCUGAUGUGCGAAAGCGUGGGGAUCAAACAGGAUUAGAUACCCUGGUAGUCCACGCCGUAAACGAUGAGUGCUAAGUGUUAGGGGGUUUCCGCCCCUUAGUGCUGCAGCUAACGCAUUAAGCACUCCGCCUGGGGAGUACGACCGCAAGGUUGAAACUCAAAGGAAUUGACGGGGACCCGCACAAGCGGUGGAGCAUGUGGUUUAAUUCGAAGCAACGCGAAGAACCUUACCAAAUCUUGACAUCCUUUGACAACUCUAGAGAUAGAGCCUUCCCCUUCGGGGGACAAAGUGACAGGUGGUGCAUGGUUGUCGUCAGCUCGUGUCGUGAGAUGUUGGGUUAAGUCCCGCAACGAGCGCAACCCUUAAGCUUAGUUGCCAUCAUUAAGUUGGGCACUCUAAGUUGACUGCCGGUGACAAACCGGAGGAAGGUGGGGAUGACGUCAAAUCAUCAUGCCCCUUAUGAUUUGGGCUACACACGUGCUACAAUGGACAAUACAAAGGGCAGCGAAACCGCGAGGUCAAGCAAAUCCCAUAAAGUUGUUCUCAGUUCGGAUUGUAGUCUGCAACUCGACUACAUGAAGCUGGAAUCGCUAGUAAUCGUAGAUCAGCAUGCUACGGUGAAUACGUUCCCGGGUCU